CCCGCAGCCUGACCCCAUUUCACCCUCCAGCCUUGGGGACCGGCCUCUCAGGUCCCGCCGCCCAGAAUGGCAUUUUGACCCCUUCAGUUUCUUCAAGGACUCACAGGCUUCAGCCCACUGAUCG